UUGACUUCUAAUUGCUGACAGAGAGCUUCUUAGCAAUUUCAAAUCACCCUCGGGAUUAUCAUUCAAGACAUAGUCUUCACAAAGAGUACUCCACAGCAAAUCCCUAUAAGGAAGAUUUACAAGCAAGCUGGGUCACAAACUGGCAGCUCAGCUUAUGAAAGCCACAGGAAAAAUCAUCAGCUGGUGGAAAUGGUCACAGAUCUAUUGAUUUUAAUAGGGCUACAUCAAUAUAUGCCAGAAAAAUGCUGCAGGAACGUUUUUUGAAAGCACCACGCUCUCUCAGGUGGAGUUUGUCAGUCACUUUAGCAGAGAAGCUGAUCUCGGCUGCUUUCUUAAGUGAGUUACUUUGCUUUGGGCAGGUGUGUUUUCCUUCUUGGUAGUAAGCUACCAAGCCAGUGUUUUCUACUGCAAUA